rnacentral:pre_miRNA from 3 species
AGUGGAAUUGCUGGGUCAUAUAGUAAUUCUGCAUUUAGCUUUCAGAGGAACUGCCAGACUCUUUUCCAAAGCAACUGCAUGAUUUUACAUUUCCACCAGCAAU